CAGGUACGAGCCACCGUCCCCAGCCUCAAAUGACACUUUCUAUUGGGAGCUCUGCCUACCGUCCCUUGUUCCUCCACCCUCCCCUGUACCUCUGGGCCCCACAGCAUGUUUUCUGACCCCCUCCCAGGGGUACUUUCCAUAAUCUAUCCAUUGUGGAGUCAUCAUCCUCUUCCCACCUUCCAAUACAGAUAGAUUCCUCUGUCCAGCAUUCUGCAAGCCAUCUUAGCCAACGUCUAUUCUUUUCUCAUUUCCAUUUGCAAAGCGCCUUUGUACAAUGCAUGGCAGUUAGGAGAGACUUAACAAAUACGUGGUAAAGUGCAUUGAAAUGACCAAGUGCAUAUGUUUACAACAUGGCUGGCUGGCAUUAGAUAUGCAGCCUGUGGUUACAAACUAAGAUUUCUUUGGGUGGAGAACAAACUCCCUCAAACCAUCCCAUUUGGGUAUGGACCAUGACUUUGGUCUCUCAAUUUAGUUAGAUGAGCUAACUACCCCAGAUGGCAGACACAGAGGGAGAAACACAUACGCACACAUUAAAAAUAAAGACAUGCACAGCACACGUGUAAGACAUUUUGUAACUAUGGGGCACCUUCUUUAUUCUCAAAGUCCAGUGUAGAUGAAUUGCAUUAACCCUCACCUUAGACUUCUCAGGCAAUCACCUGAGGAAUCAGAGCAAAGGAGCCAUCAUUCCAGAGGUGGUGACCCUUGGUGGGUGAAGCAGGUACCACCAGCCCCUGUGAAUCUCAACCACCUGGCAGGAGGGGGCACGCCAUGUCCCUAUUGUAUCUCCUUAUAGGACCUCAGAGCUGUGAUAACCAAUCCUAUCUACCCCCAGCCAAGGCAUCACCCUACCCCCUCCCAUUCAAAGAGAAAGCCCACUUUCUCAGAGCUGGGUGCGCCAGCCCCGGGAGGCAGUGGCUGUGAGUUCUGCUAUGCACAUCUCUACAUUUUCUAAUCAUCAGUUUCAGCCACUUAAGCUGAGGCAAUUAACAUGUUUAGAGACAGCCACCGUGGGCCUGAAUCAUCCAUUAUUUCUCCAUCUCCAUCUCCAAUUCCAAUGACAAAUCUCUGACUGAUUACAGUUUGGAUUUCAGGUCCCACUCUUAAUCACCACUGCUUCUUCUCUCUUUGGGGCUUGAUUUAUUGUGGAGGCUGCAACCUUCCAAGCAGGGAGGAUUCAUCACUGUCUCCACGUAGAGGAAAACUGCUUAAUGCAGGCCAGCUAGUCACGGAGGUCUCCAGCCUUUUGGAGGUUGGGAAAAAAGCUGAAGAAUUUAUUCUGCCAUUUCAGGUGGCUUCUCUAGAUGACCUCUUAUGCCUAGAACACUGAACAGGAUCCUUACAAGUAGAAGAGGCUCCUCCAAUUAAUCCAGAGACUUUUAGGAGUGACAGUGACCUUUUGAUACACACACUGAUCCUUGCCUACUUCACCAGCUGCUUCUUGUCACAAUGAUGUGGAAGAGAUACGCAUCAAGAGCCUACUAUGAGGUGUCAAACACUGUGGCAGGCACUGGAGGUGCCAGGAUGAGUUCAAUGAGCCUGGUGACAAUGUUCCAGGCACCCCCAGGCUGAUGGGAGAGACCGACAGCUGAACACUGGACCAUGCCGCAGCCAGCACUCACACACUGAGGAGAUGCAAUUUUAAAGACACUCAUCUAUGGAGUGCCCCAAAUGCACUAGGACUGCACAGGCUGUGUGGGGAACUCAAGGUUGAAAAAGAUAUAUCCUUGGCCCUCAGGAAGACUACAGCCAGUGUAAAGGGGACCAUAACGAUGUCUACAUCCCAGGGCUGUCGCGAGUGAGAUCAUCCAACCAAGCACUUUGUACAACGUCUGGCAUAUUAUACCACAUAUAAUACCUUAAUAAAUGUUGUUAUAGAAAAAAACACUUAAGCCUCUGUUGCGAGCUGAAUGUUCAUCUCCCCAUAAAAUUCACAUGUUGAAACGCUACCCCCUAAUGUGAUGGUGUUAGGAAGUGGGGUCUCUGGGAGUUGAUUAGGAUUAGAUGACAACAUGAGGGUGGAGCCCUCGUGAAUGGGAUUAGUGUCCUGAUAAAGGGUGCAGAGAGAGCUUGCCCCUCCACCAUGUAAGGCUGCAGCAAGAAGACAGCUGUCUAUGAACCAGGAAGUGGCCCUCUACAGAUGCUGAAUUGUCUGGCACCUUAAUCUUGGACUUCCCAGCCUCCAGAGCUGUGAGAGAUACAUUUGUGUUGUUAAGCCACUGAGUCUAGGGUAUUUUGUUAUAGCAGCACAAAGAUAGCCACUGAGAACCAAUCUUCCAUGUCUAGCUAACCUCGCCUCCUCCAGCAAAAAAAAAAAAAAAGAACCCGAGCCCCCCUUCCACUCUCUGCAUAGCAGUGUGACACCCCCUAGUGGCCUCUCCAGAAGCUUAUGCAUGCCAUGGCUUCCGGGCAGCCAGCAUAGCACCAUGGGUGGUCAGGGCCCUUCAUCACUUCCUUCAGCCCCAGCAUGGGUCAAUGCUGUCCUGCUCUCAAGUGACAACUUCUGGGCAGUGAAGUGCCUGGGAUCUCCUGGGAAGGGACAUCCCAUAAACAAAAAUAAUUACAAUAAUUACAUGACUUUGGCCCUAC
rnacentral:lncRNA from 1 species